GUUCAAGCUUCGACUGAACAUAUACUAAAAUUGUACCGAUACAGAGAUGAUUAGCAUGGUCCCUGCGCAAGGAUGACACGCAAAAAUUGUGAAGCGUUUCACAUUUCU